UUCACUUUCAAGUUUUCUUUAGGGGAUGUGGCAAUAAGUUGGUUGACUAACCUUUUUAACAAGAUUCUCCAAACUAAUAAGAUGUCGAUGAAUGGAGGAAGAGUAUGCUUGUGCCUAUCUACAAGAACAAGGGGGAUAUCCAAAAUUGUUCCAACUAUAGAGACAUUAAGCUUAUGAGUCAUACAAUGAAGUUGUGGAAGAGAGUUUUUUAGCAUCGUUCAAGAAUAGGAACCAAAGUCUACUGUAAAUCAAUUUGGAUUUAUGCCAAGAAGAUCUACCAUGGAGGCUAUCUUCUUGAUACGACAAUUGAUGGAGAGAUAUCGAGAAAAGAAGAAGGACCUACAUAUGGUGUUUAUUGAUCUCGAGAAGGCAUAUGAUAGGGUUCCAAGAAAGGUUAUGUGGUGGGUUCUUGAG